GUAGGUGGCAAGCGUUGUCCGGAUUUACUGGGCGUAAAGCGCGCGCAGGCGGCUCGCUAAGUCUGGGGGGGUGAAAUCUCCCGGGCUCAACCGGGAGGAGUCUCUGGAUACUGACGGGCUUGAGGAGAGCAGAGGAGAGUGGAAUUCCAGGUGUAGCGGUGAUAUGCGUAGAUAUCUGGAGGAACACCAGUGGCGAAGGCGGCUCUCUGGGCUCUUCCUGACGCUGAGGCGCGAAAGCGUGGGGAGCGAACCGGAUUAGAUACCCGGGUAGUCCACGCCGUAAACGUUGGGCACUAGGUGUGGGGGGUAUUGACCCCUUCCGUGCCGCAGCUAACGCGAUAAGUGCCCCGCCUGGGGAGUACGGCCGCAAGGCUA
rnacentral:rRNA from 1 species